rnacentral:rRNA from 1 species
GACGAACGCUGGCGGCGUGCUUAACACAUGCAAGUCGAACGGAAAGGCCCUGCUUUUGUGGGGUGCUCGAGUGGCGAACGGGUGAGUAACACGUGAGUAACCUGCCCUUGACUUUGGGAUAACUUCAGGAAACUGGGGCUAAUACCGGAUAGGAGCUCCUGCUGCAUGGUGGGGGUUGGAAAGUUUCGGCGGUUGGGGAUGGACUCGCGGCUUAUCAGCUUGUUGGUGGGGUAGUGGCUUACCAAGGCUUUGACGGGUAGCCGGCCUGAGAGGGUGACCGGCCACAUUGGGACUGAGAUACGGCCUAGACUCCUACGGGAGGCAGCAGUGGGGAAUAUUGCACAAUGGGCGGAAGCCUGAUGCAGCAACGCCGCAUGCGGGAUGACGGCCUUCGGGUUGUAAAACGCUUUCGCCUGUGACGAAGCGUGAGUGACGGUAAUGGGUAAAGAAGCACCGGCUAACUACGUG